rnacentral:lncRNA from 1 species
CAGCCUUCUGUUUCUUUAAAAUCCAGUAAUUUUGCUUGAAUAUGUCUUACUAGGGUUUUUUUCUGAUUAAGUAGUGUUACGUAGGCAGUAUAUUCUUUUUUUAAUUUUUGAUACGGAGUUUCGCUCUUGUCGCCUAGACUGGAGCGCAAUGGCGCAAUCUCAGCCCACUGCAACCUCUGCCUCCCAGGUUCAAGCGAUUCUCCUGCCCCAGCCUCCUGAGAGGCUGGGAUUACAGGCGUGUGCCGCGAUGCCCAACUAAUUUUGUUAUUUUUAUUAGAGAUGGGGUUUCACCAUGUUGGCCAGGCUGGUAAUCCCAGCACUUUGGGAGGCCAAGCUGGGCAGAUCACUUGAGGUCAGGAGUUCCAGACCAGCCUGGUCAACGUGGCAAAACCCUGUCUCUACUAAAACUACAAAAAUUAGCCGGGCUUGGUGGCGUGGGCCUGUAAUCCCAGCUACUUGGGAGGCUGAGGCAGGAGAAUCACUUGAACCCUGGAGGAGGAGUUUGCAGUGAGCCGAGAUUGUGCCACUGCACUCCAGCCUGGGAGACAGAGCCAGAAUCUGUCUCAAAAAAAAAAAAAAAAAAUCUUUUGCAGGUAAAGUUUUCCUAAAUUUCAGUUUUUAGCAUUCUGUGUCCUUGCUCUGAUUUUCUGUAUCAGGGACUUCUUCACCUAUGAUCUUAAAAGCAGCUGCAGUUAUAAUUGCUAACCAUCCAUGUGAUAUAAUCCUUAGUCCAGGCUGAGUUGGCAAAUUGCUGCCUAUGGUAAAUCUGGCCAGUUUCCAUUUUUGUAUAGUCUGCAAGCUGAGAAUGUUUUUUCUAUUUUUAUAGAUUUGAAAAAAUAUUUUACUACGUGUAAAAAUUAUAUGAAAUUCAAAAUAAACAUAAAUAUCCACAAAUCAAGUCGUAUUGGAACAUGAUCAUACUCAUUUAUCUUUAAAUAUUGUGUUUCUGCUUCAAAACAUUUUUAAUCUGUUUUUAAAUAGAGAUGGGGUCUCACUAUGUUGCCCAGGCUGGCCUUAAACUCCUGGACUCAAAAGGAUCCUAUUGCCCCAGCCUCCCAAAGUGCUGAAUUACAGGCAUGAGCCACAGCCCCUGGCCCACUUGCUGCUUUUUACACUACAACUGCAGUGGUGCAGGUGCAGUUCACACUGAGGUGGUGCACUCAUCACUUCACACUGCGGUGCACACUGCAAACUGCAGCGAUACCACGCUCAAACAUUUUGAGUGCCACACAUUUUACCUGUGAAAAGACAUCUUCAAAAAUGAAAUACAGGCCAGGCACUGUGGCUCAUGCCUGUAAUCCCACCACUUUGGGAGGCCAAGGCAGGUGGAUCACUUGAGGUCAGAAGUUCAAGACCAGCCUGGCCAACAUGGUGAAAUCCCGUCUCUACUAAAAAUACAAAAAUUAGUCAGGCGUGAUGGCAUGCUCCUGUAAUCCCAGCUACUUGGGAGGCUGAGGCAGGAGAAUCGCUUGAACCUGGGAGGCAGAGGUUGCAGUGGGUGGAGGUUACAGUGAGCCAAGACUGCGCCACUGCACUCCAGCCUGGGCAACAGAGUGAGACUCCGUCUCAAAAAAAAAAAAAAAAGAAAUACAUAAAAUCUCAUUACAAGUCACUGUUCACAGAUGAAAAUUUGCAACUCAUUUUUAUAAUGGGAAUCACUAAGCUCUAAUUUAAUGAAAUGUUAUUCCCCAUCCCAAAAGAAAAAAAUUCCAUUUUUUUCCUCAUUAGUAGAUCUGUAUUACAGAAAAGUACUCAAUUAUUAUCAUGAUAGUUUGAACUUCAUUAAUAAUUUUGUGGAGAUUUGUUUCCUCUUGUUAUAUGCCUACAUCCCACUUUUGCUUCUUGGCCCACAAGGCCAAAACUAUUUAUCUGGCUUUUCACAGAGAAAAGUUUGCCAGUGCUACUGUAAAUAAGGAAAUAAAGCAUCCAAAUUCAACUGACAGGGUUUGGGCAAAACUUGCAGUGGAGAAAAAGGUUUUUUAAAUUUAUAAAAAUAUAUAUAUAUAUAUUUGAGACGGGAGUUUCAUUCUUGUUGCCUAGGCUGGAGUGCAAUGGCACAAUCUCGGCUCACCGCAACUUCUGCCUCCCAGGUUCAAGUGAUUCUCCUUUCUCAGCCUCCCCAGUAGCUGGGAUUAUAGGCAUGUGCCACCAUGCCUGGCUAAUUUUGUAUUUUUAGUGGAGACAGGGUUUCUCCAUUGUUGGUCAGGCUGGUCUUGAACUCCUGACCUCAGAUGACCCACCCACCUCGGCCUCCCAAAGUGCUGGGAUUACAGGCUUGAGCCACCGCGCCCAGGCAAAAAUAUUUUUAUAUUUAAGUGUGUGAGUCCCUCUGGGCCAAUUCAGCUUUCUAUUUUUUUUCCUUCUUUAAUUACAGUGAAGUAAAAAGGCACAAGUUAGAAAAUGACUUCACGUUAGUUCUGAAAAAAAUUCAGUUGGCUGGACAAGGUGGCUCACGCCUGCAAACCCAGCACUUUGAGAGGCCGAGGCGAGAAGACUGCUUGAGCUCAGGAGUUCAACACCAGCCUGGGUAACAUGGUGAAACCCCGUCUUUACAAAAAAUAAAAAAUUAGGCUGGAUGCCGGGGCUCACGCCUGUAAUCCCAGCACUUUCAGAGGCCGAGGCGGAUGGAUCACUUGAGGUCAGGAGUUCAAGACCUGUCUGGCCAACAUGAUGAAACCUGGUCCCUACUAAAAAUACAAAAAAAUUAGCGGGGCACAGUGGUGCGUGCCCGUAAUCCUAGCUACUCAGGAGGCUGAGGCAGGGGAAUCACUUGAACCUGAGAGGCAGAGGCUGCAGUGAGCCCAGAUUGUGCCAUUGCACUCCAGCCUGGGCAACAGAGCAAGACUCCACCUCAAAAAAUAAAAUGAAAAAAAUAAUAAAUUAGCCAAAUAUGGUGGCACAUGCCUGUAGUCCCAGUUACUCGGGAGGCUGAGGUGGGAGGAACACUUGAGGCCAAGAGUCUAAGGCUGCAGUGAGCCAAGAUCAUGCCAUUGCACUCCAACCUGGGCAACAAAGUGAGACCCUGUCUCUAAAAUACAAUACAAUAAAAUAAAAUAAUAAAUUCACUGUGAAGAAUUCAUUCAAUGGCAUUCAAAAUGACAUUGAAUCAUGAAUCAUAUGGCUCAUGUGCAUUUGACAUUAAUUAAAAGAAAUAAACCAUUAAUGAUUAUACCAAAGUGAAUAUAUCGCCUUAUAAUUAUUAGUCCAUACAGUCAUCAUUAUUUUCUCUAGGUAUAUUUAGGUAAGCUUAAGAAACUGAGUAAAAACUAAGAAAUGAAUGUUAGGAGUAUUGAUCUACAAUCUUAUAGAAAAAUUUUUUUUUCAAAUGCAAGUUCUACUAAUAAAUUCUGAUAAACGCACUUUCUUUCAUUUUGAAUAUUACAGACUGAAUUCAAGACCUGUGAUUUAUAUGAGCACAAUGACAGAUAUAUUCCAUUACCCUUCUAGCCAUGUAAACAAGGGCAUCUUUUAAAGAAAAACGCUUUUAGUGUUCAAAGGAUAAGAAUAAUAUAUUAAAUGGCUUCUCUAGGUUUUUUUUCAACUGAGUCGCCUUGCUUGGAAAGGCUUCUCUAGGUUUUUUUUUGUUUUUGAGACGGAGUCUCAC